rnacentral:ncRNA from 1 species
UUGGGAAUUGCCGAAAACCCAUAAAAGAGUAGGCG